rnacentral:tRNA from 1 species
GCCCACUUACGCAAAAUGGCAAAGCGGCCUGACUUAGGAUCAGGUGUUUGGGGGUUCGAAUCCCUCAGUGGGUA